rnacentral:rRNA from 1 species
GACGAACGCUGGCGGCGUGCUUAACACAUGCAAGUCGAACGGAAAGGCCCUGCUCUUGUGGGGUUCUCGAGUGGCGAACGGGUGAGUAACACGUGAGUAACCUGCCCUUGACUUUGGGAUAACUUCAGGAAACUGGGGCUAAUACCGGAUAGGAUCUCCUGCUGCAUGGUGGGGGUUGGAAAGUUUCGGCGGUUGGGGAUGGACUCGCGGCUUAUCAGCUUGUUGGUGUGGUAGUGGCUUACCAAGGCUUUGACGGGUAGCCGGCCUGAGAGGGUGACCGGCCACAUUGGGACUGCGAUAGGGACCAGACUCGUACGGGAGGCAGCAGUGGAGAAUAUUGCACAAUGAGCGGAAGCCUGAUGCGGAAACGCCGCGUGCGGGAUGACGGCCUUCGGGUUGUAAACCGCUUUCGCCUGUGACGAAGCGUGAGUGACGGUAAUGGGUAAAGAAGCACCGGCUAACUACGUG